rnacentral:rRNA from 1 species
CACGUAGGCGGAUUAGUAAGUUGGAGGUGAAAUCCCAGGGCUCAACCCUGGAACUGCCUUCAAAACUACUAGUCUUGAGUUCGAGAGAGGUGAGUGGAAUUCCGAGUGUAGAGGUGAAAUUCGUAGAUAUUCGGAGGAACACCAGUGGCGAAGGCGGCUCACUGGCUCGAUACUGACGCUGAGGUGCGAAAGCGUGGGGAGCAAACA